CUUACACCGAAUGCUUGCAUUCACCGUAAGAAGUUGAGUGGCGGACGGGUGAGUAACACGUGGGUAACCUGCCUAAAAGAAGGGGAUAACACUUGGAAACAGGUGCUAAUACCGUAUAUCUCUAAGGAUCGCAUGAUCCUUAGAUGAAAGAUGGUUCUGCUAUCGCUUUUAGAUGGACCCGCGGCGUAUUAACUAGUUGGUGGGGUAACGGCCUACCAAGGUGAUGAUACGUAGCCGAACUGAGAGGUUGAUCGGCCACAUUGGGACUGAGACACGGCCCAAACUCCUACGGGAGGCAGCAGUAGGGAAUCUUCCACAAUGGACGUAAGUCUGAUGGAGCAACGCCGCGUGAGUGAAGAAGGUCUUCGGAUCGUAAAACUCUGUUGUUAGAGAAGAACACGAGUGAGAGUAACUGUUCAUUCGAUGACGGUAUCUAACCAGCAAGUCACGGCUAACUACGUGC
rnacentral:rRNA from 1 species